AGUUUCAUCCCUUGUCUGCACAAUAAAAAAAAAUUGAGGACGAAAUUCCUAAAAAUGCCGGCUCCAGAAUUCGUGCACGAAACCCUUACACACGGUUAAAAUUCAAUCGCGUUGGAUCCCUCUUAAUGGCCAGAAUAAACCUGUCGCAUAUAUUUCCAGAACACUCACCGCAGCGGAGAAAAACUACAGUCAUCUUGACAAGGAAGCCACGGCGAUUUAUUGGUCUGUAAAGAAAUUCUUUCAAUACCUUUACGGAAGAGAAUUCACCUUAAUCACAGAUAACAAACGAUACAAUCCAUUUUUAAUCCAGACAAGCAAUUACUAUUAAUUAGUGCAUUACGAUUGACAAGAUAUGCAUUAUUUCUACGUCAGUUUCAAUAUAAAAUUCAAUACAGAGCGGGAAAACAUCAGAACGUUGAUUAUUUAUCGAGGAAUUUAAGUCAAUCAGAUACCAACGAAGUAGAUGACACAGAUGUAAUUCAAUCAGUAUUAAUAAAUCAAAUAACUUCUUCAAUAAUUACAAGAGAACGAAUUCGAACCGAAACCGAAAAAGAUCUAGAACUACAGGCGUUAAAGAAAGAAUUAUUAUCAACAGAAUACAACCAAUCGCAAUACUCAAUUCAUCAAGGUAUUAUUCUUCGAGGAUCAAGAGUCGUGAUACCAGCUUCGCUUCAACAUUUAAUAUUAGAAGAGCUCCACGAGACACACGUUGGUAUAGUGAAAAUGAAAGUCAUUGAAAGGUCCACUUGUUACUGGAAAAAUAUAGACAAAGACAUUGAAGCCUUAACUCGAUCCUGCCCAGUGUGUGCACAAAACCAGAAAGAUCCUACACAAGUUCCAACUCACCAUUGGGAAGUGCCAAGCAGACCUUGGGUUCGCAUACAUGCUGAUUUUACAGGUCCUAAACAAUACCGAAAGCGAAGAGAACAUUGAUAAUGCAGAAUCCAUUUUUGUGCUUGUGGCAAAUCUACCAAUCAAUUCGCUGGAACAUUUAACUGAAUUGGAAACGUACUUAAGUACCUACACCAGAGCAUAUGGAGAGCACCGCUAAAGACGUGUCUCAUAUUGGUGGAAAAGAUACAUAUACGAGUUUGUUUUUCGAGCAACACAGAAGCUAAUUACCAAUAAUUUCUGUGGUACCACAUUUAGUUUUUUGGGCAGGCGUAGAAAAGAAUCCUUUAGUAAACUGAAGUUGAAUGAACUUCUGAUACAAGCAUCAAUGCAGUUAUUCCCCUCUGCAACCUUGAAAGAUAGAAGCCAGUAUCACGAAAUGGUUGCGUACGUACAAUAGGUACAUACUUUGGACGUAAGUAGUGUACGUAUACGUACACGAUAGGACAAUACCGAAACGUUUUUAUCGACUUUAAUCCCUAAUUUUUGUGCAUUUUAAUAGGUAAUUUUAAUCCCUAGGGAUUAAAAAAACUUUAAUCCCUCAUUUUUGUUUACUUGUAA